rnacentral:rRNA from 1 species
UAGUCCACGCCGUAAACGAUGUCUACUAGCCGUUGGGAGACUUGAUUUCUUAGUGGCGCAGCUAACGCACUAAGUAGACCGCCUGGGGAGUACGGCCGCAAGGUUAAAACUCAAAUGAAUUGACGGGGGCCCGCACAAGCGGUGGAGCAUGUGGUUUAAUUCGAUGCAACGCGAAGAACCUUACCAGGUCUUGACAUCCUGAAAACUUUCUAGAGAUAGAUUGGUGCCUUCGGGAAUUCAGUGACAGGUGCUGCAUGGCCGUCGUCAGCUCGUGUCGUGAGAUGUUGGGUUAAGUCCCGCAACGAACGCAACCCCUAUCGUUAGUUACCAGCGGGUUAAGCCGGGGACUCUAACGAGACUGCCUGCGCAAGCAGUGAGGAAGGUGGGGACGACGGUCAAGUCAUCAUGGCCCUUACGCCUAGGGCUGCACACGUGCUACAAUGGUCGUGACAAAGAGUUGCUAGUCUGCGAAGGCAAGCCAAUCUCAUAAACGCGGGCCUUAGUUCGGAUUG